AGAGAAAAAGUUGGCCCACCAUCCUGGGAAUAUCAUGUGAAGCAUCCAGAAAUAUCCUAGAUGGCUGGAGCAGAAGCCCAGGCUCAGAAACCUCCACUGACAGAGGAGGGGAGAAGACUUAGUGGAGGAGAGCGAGACUAACCAGAGAGGAAAACUUUUGCCUUUGGAUAACUAAGAACUACGGGGAAAGAUCCAAUAUGGCAGUUGCCAGCAUGUCCAUGCCUGGCUCCACAACCAACCUAGACUCAGAUGUUACAUAGUAAAUGUAAAUCUGUCUCUCUCCAUUUAGUCAUUACAACGUAGCUAUAGCCAAUAUGACAUAUGGGCAACAAUUGCUAGUCACGGUAUGUACAAGAAAAUAUUAUUAUAGGGAUUGAGGAAGAACAUGUGACACUAUACAGACAUCUCCAUCAAUUUAAAUAUACAGUUGCGUUCAAAAUUAUUGGCACCCUCGAUAAAGAUGAGCAGAAAAGACUGUAUAAAAUAAAUAAUAAGAAUACUGA